GUAGGGAAUAUUGCGCAAUGGGGGAAACCCUGACGCAGCGACGCCGCGUGAGUGAUGAAGGCCUUCGGGUCGUAAAGCUCUGUUGCAGGGGAAUAAAAAAAUGAAGGUACCCUGUGAGGAAGGAUCGGCUAACUUCGUGCCAGCAGCCGCGGUAAGACGAGGGAUCCUAGCGUUGCUCGGAAUCAUUGGGCGUAAAGAGGGCGUAGGUGGCUUGGUAAGUCAGGUGUGAAAGCCCAGGGCUCAACCCUGGAAGUGCAUUUGAUACUGCUGAGCUUGAGUGUCGGAGAGGUUACCGGAAUACCUGGUGUAGUGGUGAAAUACGUAGAUAUCAGGUGGAACACCGGAGGCGAAGGCGGGUAACUGGACGAACACUGACACUGAGGCCCGAAAGCGCGGGGAUCAAACAGGAUUAGAAACCCGGGUAGUCC
rnacentral:rRNA from 1 species